AAGGCCUUUUGGUUGUAAAGCACUUUAAGCGAGGAGGAGGCUACUUAGAUUAAUACUCUAGGAUAGUGGACGUUACUCGCAGAAUAAGCACCGGCUAACUCUGUGCCAGCAGCCGCGGUAAUACAGAGGGUGCGAGCGUUAAUCGGAUUUACUGGGCGUAAAGCGUGCGUAGGCGGCUUUUUUAAGUCGGAUGUGAAAUCCCUGAGCUUAACUUAGGAAUUGCAUUCGAUACUGGGAAGCUAGAGUAUGGGAGAGGAUGGUAGAAUUCCAGGU
rnacentral:rRNA from 1 species